GCUGCUAAUCUAUCACUACUAAUCUAUCGCUGCUAAUCUAUUGCUGCUAAUCUAUCACUGCUAAUCUAUUGCUGUUAAUCUAUCUACUGCUGCUAAUCUAUCUACUGCUGCUAAUCUAUCUAUCACUGCUAAUCUAUUGCUGCUAAUCUAUCACUGCUAAUCUAUCACUGCUAAUCUAUCACUGCUAAUCUAUCACUGCUAAUCUAUUGCUGCUAAUCUAUCGCUGCUAAUCUAUUGCUGCUAAUCUAUCACCGCCAAUCUAUCUACUGCUGUCAAUCUACCUACUGCUGUCAAUCUAUCUACUGCUGUCAAUCUAUCUAUCACUGCCAAUUCAUAUAGAGUAAAUCAUGGUCUCAUUUGAUUCCAUUUUGUAAAAUGGAAUCAAAUGAAAUCAGAAUCACUAAUUUAUUAGUAAAAUAUGAUCUGAGACUAGAUUUAUAAUAUAAACAGUGUAAAGUGACUAAUUUGCUAAACACUAUAUGAGAUCAGAACUA
rnacentral:sRNA from 2 species